GACGAACGCUGGCGGCGUGCUUAACACAUGCAAGUCGAACGGAAAGGCCCCUUUGGGGGUACUCGAGUGGCGAACGGGUGAGUAACACGUGAGUAACCUGCCCUUGACUUCGGGAUAACUUCAGGAAACUGGGGCUAAUACCGGAUAGGAAUCCUUGCUGCAUGAUGGGGGUUGGAAAGCUUCGGCGGUUUUGGAUGGACUCGCGGCUUAUCAGCUUGUUGGUGGGGUAGUGGCUUACCAAGGCUUUGACGGGUAGCCGGCCUGAGAGGGCGACCGGCCACAUUGGGACUGAGAUACGGCCCAGACUCCUACGGGAGGCAGCAGUGGGGAAUAUUGCACAAUGGGCGGAAGCCUGAUGCAGCAACGCCGCGUGCGGGAUGACGGCCUUCGGGUUGUAAACCGCUUUCAGCAGGGGCGAAGCUUGUGGUGACGGUACCUGCAGAAGAAGCACCGGCUAACUACGUG
rnacentral:rRNA from 1 species